rnacentral:snRNA from 1 species
UGUAACACUGUAUACUUUCAUUAUACUAAAAUUGGAAUGAUACAGAAAUGAUUAGUAUGGCCCCCUGCACAUGCAUGACAUACAAAUUCAUGAAGUGUUCCAUAUUUUU